GACGAACGCUGGCGGCGUGCCUAAUACAUGCAAGUCGAACGCUUUUUCUUUCACCGGAGCUUGCUCCACCGAAAGAAAAGGAGUGGCGAACGGGUGAGUAACACGUGGGUAACCUACCCAUCAGCGGGGGAUAACACUUGGAAACAGGUGCUAAUACCGCAUAAUAUCGACAACCGCCUGGUUGACGAUUGAAAGGCGCAAUUGCGUCACUGAUGGAUGGACCCGCGGUGCAUUAGCUAGUUGGUGAGGUAACGGCUCACCAAGGCGACGAUGCAUAGCCGACCUGAGAGGGUGAUCGGCCACACUGGGACUGAGACACGGCCCAGACUCCUACGGGAGGCAGCAGUAGGGAAUCUUCGGCAAUGGACGAAAGUCUGACCGAGCAACGCCGCGUGAGUGAAGAAGGUUUUCGGAUCGUAAAACUCUGUUGUUAGAGAAGAACAAGGUGGAGAGUGGAAAGUUCCACCCUUGACGGUAUCUAACCAGAAAGCCACGGCUAACUACGUGCCAGCCGCCGCCGUAACAC
rnacentral:rRNA from 1 species